rnacentral:lncRNA from 1 species
GUUUGAGCAAAGCUGUAGGUGAUUUGACAAAAUCAUCUGCAAAACCAGAUUUCUAACACCUCCCUGCUGUGUAUCUCAUUUCUGCUGAUGUGUGGUGCUUCAUAAGAUGGGGACGUUAAGCAUGCAGCAACUACAGUCAUUUGUUCUCAGAGGAGGGCAUUUCCACUCUGAAUUUCCAGUUCCAAACAUUUCAGUUUUCCACCAAGACAUCAUUCCUGGGUUUGGGAUUCCUGAAUUUUC